rnacentral:rRNA from 1 species
UACGUAGGGGGCAAGCGUUGUCCGGAUUUAUUGGGCGUAAAGGGCGCGUAGGCGGUUUGACAAGUCUGAUGUGAAAUCUCUGGGCUCAACCCAGAGUCUGCAUUAGAAACUGUCGGGCUUGAGUAUGGGAGAGGUGAGUGGAAUUUCCGGUGUAGCGGUGAAAUGCGUAGAUAUCGGAAGGAACACCUGUGGCGAAAGCGGCUCACUGGACCAUAACUGACGCUGAGGCGCGAAAGCUAGGGGAGCAAACAGG